AGGAGUUGGGUGCCACUGGCAAUAAUGGGAUGGAAGAUGAAUGGGGACCUUCAGGAUUAGACCCAUGGACAAGCUGGAGGGAUGGGACGGGAUCCACAGCUGGGGAUGCUGUGGGGCGUAGUCAGAGGUGUUCCAGCUCUGAUGAGGAAAGUGAUGAGGAAACGCCCGGGUUAAGGAGGGCAGCUGAUAGUGAUGAGGAUUUGUAACUGGCAUAAAAUGAGGCUUGGGAGCAAUUGCAAAUUGCGUUGGGCAAGGUAAUCUGGACGAACGCUUGGGAUCUGUGUGGGACGCUUUCCUGAAGACUGGUGUGUUUUCGUGUGCUGAUACCUUUGACCUUCCGUCGUCUUCUUGACGGACGCCAUCUGCUACUCUGGAUUUACGGACUGAAAACUGACUACGGGCUCGCUUUCUCCUAUUGAACUUGGAAAACUGCAAACGUCUGAUUCUGCCUCUCGACCUACGGAACGAACUGGGACUACGCUACUGCUUCAAUCCUUGGCUGCUGAGUUUGUAUUGGAAAUUUGCCUUGCUGUGUGAAGGAGUGACUCCUAGUUACUCAAAACAUAGUGCUGGCAGCAGAGAGGCAAUCUGCUGCCAAUUAGUUGCAUUCUUUUGAACUCUUUGUUUCCCAGCUUCUGUUUGUUUUUCCCCAGGCUGAAGCAAGCUGUUUUGAUUUUACCCGGAUUAAACUCCGGUUUAAUCCGGUUUAUCUUUUGAACGUUUUUCUUGCCCCUUUUUGUUUUUAAAGGCUAAAGUUGCCUUGCCCUUGUCUUUUACGGGCAUUUUGAGUUCUGUAAAUCCAAUAAACUCUGUUAUCUUUGA